GUAGAAGAUGGCCAAAGUCCUUGUGCCCCUGCACCUGUGUGAGAGACCCGGCAGAAGGAUCUGCCUCCUGGCUUGGGUUCCGCUCAGCUCUGCCACUGCAGUCAUUUGGGAGUGAACCAGCAGAUGAACGACCUCUUUCUGACUCUGGCUCUACAGCUCUCUAACUCUUUCAAAUAAACCUUAAAAAAAAGAAAAAGAAAAAGGCGCCGGGGCCUGGACAAGCAUGAACAAGUGGCAAUGUCAGUACACCUGAGGCAGCUCCAGCACAGCUGUGGAUGAAGCAGAGAGGGCCCUUUCGUGAUACGCUGACCUCGUGUUUCGUUGGGCCUGUCUGGCAAGGAUAACUUAGGGAUCCCAGAACUUCAGUCUGCGAUCACGGCCCCACUUCUAUGGACCCAGUGCUUGCAUGAGUCUCUCUGACGUUAUGAGCCAGGUGCCCCAGUUCCCCACAGGCCCUAUAUUUCCUGGGUCCCUCCACUGCUUGCCUUUAGUAAGCAAGGGGAACCUGCUGAUCCCUGCAGCCUCCCAAGGGCCCACACAGCUGGUGCGGAGCUCUAAGAGGCCCCUGCUGGCCCUGCAGGAUUCCCUGCUGCGUGGCCGGGCAGGAUCUGGGCAGCAGAACCCGGGGCUCAGCUGCCGGUGCUGAGCAGGGCCUGUCCAGGAAGGGGCGCAGGCCCAGGCUGGACCUGUGUUGAGUACACCCGCGUUCAUUACAACAGCGAUCGGUCUGGGCUGGCAAUGUCUACACCGCGCUUUAUAACUGUUCACGGUUACAUCCGUGCUCCUCUCGGUCCUCCCUGUCUGGAUCUGUCGUCCGUGUUCACCUGCGUGUCUUCGUUGGUUCACACCUCGCUCAGCAGCCUGGGGACCCUACUCACAUGCCCGGAGGGCGGCUUAGGAAAAAGAAGUCCCGCCCCUCCGGGGCUCCGAUUGGUCGGGCCUGGCAGAGCCAGCAGCGGUGGUGGCCGAUUGGCUGCGGAACGCAGCCCGCGCAUAGACGCCAUGGCCUCACCCUGGUGUCCGUUGUCUGUGGGCCGCAGGGUAGAGGCGCCCCGAGAGUGGGGGGCUCAGCACCCCGAAGAGCCUAGAGCAGGAAGGACGUGGUCCACCCCACCUCGGUCGUUAGCACAGUCAGCGUGGAAAAGAAGAUAUGCUUCUUAAACAAGUCAACGUGAAUAUGACUGAAUUACAGGAACUACCAUGUAUUCUAUUAACUCCUGGCAGACACAAGUGCAGAAAAGAGGUUAGCAUUCCACCUUAAACAGCCAG